CGUAGGGUGCGAGCGUUAAUCGGAAUUACUGGGCGUAAAGCGUGCGCAGGCGGUUUGUUAAGAUAGGCGUGAAAUCCCCGGGCUCAACUUGGGAACUGCGCUUAUGACUGGCAAGCUAGAGUACGGCAGAGGGGGGUGGAAUUCCACGUGUAGCAGUGAAAUGCGUAGAGAUGUGGAGGAACACCAAUGGCGAAGGCAGCCCCCUGGGUCGAUACUGACGCUCAUGCACGAAAGCGUGGGUAGCAAACAGGAUUAGAUACCCUGGUAGUCCACGCCCUAAACGAUGUCAACUAGGUGUUGGGAGGGUAAAACCUUUUAGUACCGGAGCUAACGCGUGAAGUUGACCGCCUGGGGAGUACGGGCCGCAAGGUUA
rnacentral:rRNA from 1 species